AAGGGUGAACGCCCAUGCUACUUAUAGACCCCUAAAAUAAGUUUUUCAAACCCCAAUAGAAUAAACAUGACAACUCAUCAAAUAAAAAAAUAAAAUAAUUUUAAGUGUGAACUUUUAAUGGGAAUUCAACCAAAGGAAUUAAAUGGGCUCUUUGGGCUAAAUUCUUACAUGAUGAUCCACCUAUUAAAAUAAACUUGGACCUAUAGUUUAAAUAGUUACAAUUUGGGUCACUUUGAUAAUUUGACUUGAUAUUCAAUUAAAUUACUUUCCAAACUUCAGGAUGGACUUGUAGACAUCUUAAUGGGUCAUUUUUUCAAGAACUUGGUCUUGUGAUCCGUUUGCUCUCGAAAUUGGCUCGUUCAAGCUCAUACAUGAAAUCCAUUAUGCCUUGGCUGCAAGAUUCGGUUUCUUGGACUAAGAUUUCCAAGAUCUAAAAUCUUAAUUUUCUUGAUUCUUGAAAUUGUCCAAAACAACAAAAUUAGACCAAGAUUCGGUUUCUUGAUUUUCUUGAAAAUAAGAAAUUGAAUCUUGAUUUUCUUUUUCGGUCGUAUGCACAUCUAGGGCCUUGGUAACGAAGUCUUGGAUGGUCUCAUUCAGUCUUGCUCAGAUUUACUUGGCCUUCGACCUUGUUAUUGGGCCUUGAGAAAAUUUGAGCCCAUCACAUUCAUGAGCCUUAUUUUGGGCCUUGAGACUCGCAUCAAGAGGCUUCAUUCCUUGUUCUUCAUUGCUUAUUUAAGAGUUUGUUAUAAUCUUGUUUAAUAUCUGAAUAUGAUCAGUCUGUCCGUACCAAGGAUGUUAGGUUAUUGCUCAACUUAGGAUUGAAUUAGUAAUUUGAGUGUUAAAAUGUUUAUCUAUUGGAUAAAAAAAUUGGUUUAAUAAGCUUACACUGCUUAUAUAUAGAGUAUGUUAGAAAUGUGAUUGAUCUUACCCUGCAACUUUGAUGUUGCAGAUCAUGAAGGUUAUUUCUUAGUAAUUGACUGCUCAUGCUUUCCCUUUUAAUUUUUUUUU
rnacentral:lncRNA from 1 species